rnacentral:tRNA from 1 species
GGGUAUUUAGCUCAGUGGUAGAGCACUUGCCUAGCAAGCACAAGGCCCUGGGUUCGGUCCCCAGCUCU